GUAUAUGUGUGUGUAUAUAUAUAUAUAUAUAUAUAUAUAUAUAUAUAUAUAUAUAUAUAUAUAUAUAUAUAUAUAUAUAUAUAUAUAUAUAUAUAUAUAUAUAUAUAUAUNNNNNNNNNNAAGCCUGCUUGUUGCACGGUAAUAAGCCUGCUUGUUGCACGGUAAUAAGCCUGCUUGUUGCACGGUAAUAAGCCUGCGUGUUGCACGGUAAUAAGCCUGCGUGUUGCACGGUAAUAGACCGGAGACAUUAGCACAUUACAGGCCUCAGACCCUGCUGCUUAGAACCCGCAGGCGUGUCACCGAUAUGAUCUGUCGACGUGUUUCAGUAUUACUAUAUGGAAAAAGUCUGCAAUCUUUUACAUUUUAAUUUUAAAAAAUGACAAAAUUCUAUCUUUAAGGUUUUCACUCUUACAUGUAUUUGAAACUUUUUGUUUUUGAUCCUUUUUUGUUUUUUUUUGUUGCAUGCUUACAUUUUUUUUUAAAUGAAACAACGUCUCACAGAUAUAGGUGUUGUAAACUCGACGGGUUGGUAGCUGAAUCUGGGGGUGGUUGUUUAUCAUGCUCAUAUACCCACAGGUGUGUAUGUGUUAGGAGUGCGUUGGAUGGAUUUAACCUUUUUGACCUUUGCGAUUGUAUUUCCUGUUCCCAAGAGGCUCUGCAGAGGCCAAUCGUUGCUUGGCCAGCCAUGUCUGGAAUCUGUACUAGAGUGCAGUUAGUACAACAACUUUUAGAGCCACACAGUUUAAUGAUCCCUCCACACACACACACGUUGUCCUAGUAAUGACAACCUCAUACUCUCUAUCAAAAUAAGCUAGGUUUCUUCACAGGAUUAGCCGGCAAGCAUCAUUAGAAUCGCUUGAUUUAUUUUAAACCCCCCCCUCACAAAAAUAUCCAGGAAGUGUGGUGCUGAGCACUUGAUUGGUCUCCUGUACUCCUGUUGGGCAGGGUUUUAUUGGCCCCUAUGUUUCUGUCCACCAUUUUGUUUCUGGCAUCUCAGAGAAAAGUUGGUUUAAGCAAAACUGCACCAGGUAGAAAUUGUGCAACAUGUUAAUGAUUGUAUCUUUUAAAGAAAAAAUGUAAAUACGUAACAUUUUUAAAAGGAAAAAAAAAGAAGAAACUCAGGUAGUUCUUUGCCCCUGAGGGUGUCACAGUGAAAUGUGUCCCCAUAGUGAUGUGGGUGUCACAGUGAAAUGUGUCCCCCUAGUGAUGUGGGCGUCACAGUGAAAUGUGUCCCCCAUAGUGAUGUGGGCGUCACAGUGAAAUGUGUCCCCCAUAGUGAUGUGGGUGUCACAGUGAAAUGUGUCCCCCAUAGUGAUGUGGGUGUCACAGUGAAAUGUGUCCCCUAUAGUGAUGUGGGUGUCACAGUGAAAUGUGUCCCCGAUAGUGAUGUGGGUGUCACAGUGAAAUGUUUACCCCCUAGUGAUGCGGGUGUCAGUGAAAUGUGUCCCCCGUAGUGAUAAUGUAGUGAACCUUUCUGUUAUGACCUCAGUACGAGUCUCAUUGGCCAUGUUCCAGGACCCUCUUUCUUUGCAGUUGGGGUUGUGAAAAUCCUGAGAUUUCUGCAUGUGUGUGUGUGUGUUAAAGACGGGCUGGAACGCGACCAAUCUUUUCUGUGUGCCCGUUUUUGCAUAUUACACGUUAGUUCUCAAUCUCGAAAAUGGAAACAUUUAUUUCCCUCAAAUGUACUGUUUUAUGUUUAAUUUUCAGGUUUUAUUUUUGUUAAAUGUUCCAGUUGUUUGUUUGAUAAACACCAAAGAACAUACUCCAGACUCUCGACGACCUUUGUGGAAUGUAUUGUGAUAUGUUUAUUUUGUAAGAAAAUGGUUUGCUGGGAGUGAUUCUCACUCACACCCUACUCAUUACUAGCAGGAUCACAAAACAGAACUGAUACUGUACUACCAAUCAAUCUGCGUCUGGAGAAUUACAAUGGACACCAUGUUGUUACCAUUGUUGUUCCAUUCCGGUGAGAAUGCAAUUUAGAAUCUUACUAUCAUGGAGCCUUUGGUGACAAAAUGGCCUCUUUUUAAAAAAAACAAUUCUGAGUCUGUUUAUCAACAGUCACUCUGUAGGCCUAUUUCUAAGGCUCUGUUCUGUCCUGUGUGCAGUAGGUAGUGUGUGAGAGUGUGUUUGUGUGCUGCAUCGUGUUGUUGUUGAACCCAAAUCCACUGAAUGUAUUCUCCUCUGUCGACGAGGCACGAGGACAGCAGGGACCAGCUGAGUUUAGAAGGGCGCUGCUGGUGUGUGUUUUGUGUUGGUGUACUAUCAAAUACACACUGAAAUAAUCUGUAAGGAGUGUGUAUAUGUGUGUAUGCACGUGUUUCCCCCCCUCCCCUCUCCUCACACACAGUGGUCGGUGUGGAAGUGCAGUUGUCAGGUCUUCAGUUUAAAUAAAGAAGAGGAGACUAAUUUACCUGCCGUCUUCUGUUACACGCUGUCUUCUGUUACCUGCUGUCUUCUGUUGCCUUCCCUCGUCUGUUGCCUGCUGCUUUCUGUGGACUUUACACAUUUCCUAUGCAGUUUUUUUUUUGUUUACACUUAAAUAAACGUAUUUCUUUGAUUUCGGUCUGGAGUUCAUUUUUUUUCAUCAAUUGCAAAGCUAUAAAAUUAUUAAUUUAAAAUGUUUGAUUCUUACAUUAUUAAUAUAUUGAAAGAAUAUACAGUACUGGCUCUGUUGGGCGUUCUAAUUCAUCCCAAAGGUGUUGGAUGGAGUUGAGGUCAGGGCUCUGUGCAGGCCAGUCAAGUUCUUCCACACCAAUCUCAACAAACCAUUUCUGUAUGGACCUCACUUUGUGCAUGGGAGCAUGCUGAAACAGGAAAGGGCCUUAACCAAACUGUUGCCACAAAGUUGGAAGCACACAAUCGUCUAGAAUGUCAUCAUCGUAUGCUGUAGCAUUUAGAUUGGAUCUAAGGGGCCAAGCCAAAACCAUGAAAAACAGCCCCAGACAAUUAUUCCUCCUCCACCAAACUUUAUAGUUGACACUAUGCAUUCGGGCAAGUAGCAUUCUUCUGGCAUCCGCCAAACCCAGAUUUGUCCGUCGGGACUGCCAGAUGGUGAAGCGUGAUUCAUCACUCCAGAGAACUCAUUUCCACUGCUCCAGAGUCCAAUGGUGGCGUGCUUAACACCACUCCAGCCAAGGUUGGCAUGGUGAACUUAGACUUGUGUGCUGCUGCUCGGCCAUGGAAACCCAUUUCACAAAGCUUCCGAUGAACAGUUAUUGUGCUGACGUUGCUUCCAGAGGCAGUUGGAAUUUGGGAGUGUGUUUUGCUUCAGCACUAGGCGAUCCCGUUCUGUUAACUUGUGUUGCCUACCACUUUGUGGCUGAGCCGUUGUUGAUCCUAGACGUUUCCACUUCACCAUAACAGCGCUUACGGUUGACCGGGUAAGCUCUAGCAUUGGCAGAAAGUUGACCAACUGUUUUGUCCUGUAGGUUGUUGGAAAGGUGGCAUCUUAAGACGGUGCCACGUUUUAAGGUCACUGAGCUCUUCAGUAAGGCCUGCCAAUGUUUGUCUAUGGAGAUUGCAUGGCUGUGUGCUCGAUUUUUAUACACCUAUCAGCAACAGGUGCGGCUGAAAUAGCCGAAUCCACUAAGUUGAAGGGGUGUCAACAUACUGAUAUACAUAUAUACAUAUAUAUGUAUAUAUGUAUAUCAGUAUGUUG
rnacentral:lncRNA from 13 species